rnacentral:rRNA from 1 species
ACGGCUGAACUGGCAACUUGGAGAAGCGGAAAGUCAUACCUCUAUAGAUAACUUACUAUAUGUAUGUAUUAGAUUAAUUUUUGAAUGAAGCUUUGUUUAUAUAUCAAUAAUGAUGAUGUAUAUAUAAUGUCUUGACCAAUUACGUGCCAGCAGUCGCGGUAAUACGUAAGAGACUAGUGUUAUUCAUAUGAAUUAGGUUUAAAGGGUACUUAGGCGGCCAUAACAUCUUGUAAAAAUGCAAAUAUUAGGCUAGAGUUAUAAUAGAAGAGGGUAGUACUUGAGGAGGAGAGAUAAAAUUCAUUGAUACCAAAGGGACUGGUUACGGCGAAAGCAACCCUUUAAAUAGUAACUGACGUUGAAGGACGAAGGCAUUGGUCACGAACAGGAUUAGAUACCCUUAGUAGUCUUUGCAGUCAAUGAUGAAUGUCAUGAGUUGGAUGAAAAUCUGGCACAUAAAUAAAAGUGUAAGCAUUCCACCUCAAGAGUAAUGUGGCAACGCAGGAACUGAAAUCACUAGACCGUUUCUGACACCAGCAGUGAAGUAUGUUGUUUAAUUCGAUAAUCCACGAAAAACCUUACCGCGGUUUGUAUAGUUUAGCUUAGGCUAACACUACAGGUAUUGCACGGCUGUUUUCAGUUAAUGUUGUGAAACUGUGUAUUUAUUACACUUAAUUAACGUAAUCCUUGACUUUAUUUUGUAGAUUUACGAUAAAGUGUUUACUUCGUUAUACAUGGAGUUAUGAGAAAGGGGACUAAUACAAGUCAUCAUGGUCUUUAUACCGCGGGC